UACGAAGGGGGCUAGCGUUGCUCGGAAUCACUGGGCGUAAAGGGUGCGUAGGCGGGGCUUUAAGUCAGGGGGGAAAUCCUGGAGCUCAACUCCAGAACUGCCUUUGAUACUGAAGAUCUUGAGUUCGGGAGAGGUGAGUGGAACUGCGAGUGUAGAGGUGAAAUUCGUAGAUAUUCGCAAGAACACCAGUGGCGAAGGCGGCUCACUGGCCCGGUACUGACGCUGAGGCACGAAAGCGUGGGGAGCAAACAGG
rnacentral:rRNA from 1 species